rnacentral:rRNA from 1 species
CCUACGGGCGGCAGCAGUGGGGAAUAUUGGGCAAUGGGCGCAAGCCUGACCCAGCAACGCCGCGUGAAGGAAGAAGGCUUUCGGGUUGUAAACUUCUUUUUUCAGGGACGUAGCAAGUGACGGUACCUGAUGAAUACGCCUCGGUUAACUAUGUGCAGGCAGCCGCGGCAAUACGUAGGCGGCAAGCGUAAUCCGGAUUUACUGGGUGUAAAGGGUGAGUAGGUGGGAGUGCAAGGCAGCUGUGAAAAUUAUGGGCUAAACCCAUAGACUGCAUUUGACACUGUACGUCUUGAGUGCUGGAGAGGCAAGCGGAAUUCGUGGUGUAGCGGUGAAAUGCGUAGAUAUACGGAGGAACACCGAUGGCGAAGGCAGAUUGCUGGACAGUAACUGACGCUGAGGCGCGAAAGCGUGGGUAGCAAACAGGAUUAGAUACCCUUGUAGUC